UACGUAGGCAGCAAGCGUUGUUCGGAGUUACUGGGCGUAAAGGGUGCGUAGGCGGUUGUUUAAGUUUGGUGUGAAAUCUCCCGGCUCAACCGGGAGGGUGCGCCGAAUACUGAAUGACUAGAGUGCGGGAGAGGAGAGUGGAAUUCCUGGUGUAGCGGUGAAAUGCGUAGAUAUCAGGAGGAACACCGGUGGCGAAGGCGGUGGUCUGGGCCGGUACUGACGCUGAGGAGCGAAAGCGUGGGGAGCGAACAGG
rnacentral:rRNA from 1 species